GGGUUGUGAGGUUAAGCGACUAAGCGUACACGGUGGAUGCCCUGGCAGUCAGAGGCGAUGAAGGACGUGCUAAUCUGCGAUAAGCGUCGGUAAGGUGAUAUGAACCGUUAUAACCGGCGAUUUCCGAAUGGGGAAACCCAGUGUGAUUCGUCACACUAUCAUUAACUGAAUCCAUAGGUUAAUGAGGCGAACCGGGGGAACUGAAACAUCUAAGUACCCCGAGGAAAAGAAAUCAACCGAGAUUCCCCCAGUAGCGGCGAGCGAACGGGGAGCAGCCCAGAGCCUGAAUCAGUGUGUGUGUUAGUGGAAGCGUCUGGAAAGGCGCGCGAUACAGGGUGACAGCCCCGUACACAAAAAUGCACAUGCUGUGAGCUCGAUGAGUAGGGCGGGACACGUGGUAUCCUGUCUGAAUAUGGGGGGACCAUCCUCCAAGGCUAAAUACUCCUGACUGACCGAUAGUCAACCAGUACCGUGAGGGAAAGGCGAAAAGAACCCCGGCGAGGGGAGUGAAAAAGAACCUGAAACCGUGUACGUACAAGCAGUGGGAGCACGCUUAGGCGUGUGACUGCGUACCUUUUGUAUAAUGGGUCAGCGACUUAUAUUCUGUAGCAAGGUUAACCGAAUAGGGGAGCCGAAGGGAAACCGAGUCUUAACUGGGCGUUAAGUUGCAGGGUAUAGACCCGAAACCCGGUGAUCUAGCCAUGGGCAGGUUGAAGGUUGGGUAACACUAACUGGAGGACCGAACCGACUAAUGUUGAAAAAUUAGCGGAUGACUUGUGGCUGGGGGUGAAAGGCCAAUCAAACCGGGAGAUAGCUGGUUCUCCCCGAAAGCUAUUUAGGUAGCGCCUCGUGAAUUCAUCUCCGGGGGUAGAGCACUGUUUCGGCAAGGGGGUCAUCCCGACUUACCAACCCGAUGCAAACUGCGAAUACCGGAGAAUGUUAUCACGGGAGACACACGGCGGGUGCUAACGUCCGUCGUGAAGAGGGAAACAACCCAGACCGCCAGCUAAGGUCCCAAAGUCAUGGUUAAGUGGGAAACGAUGUGGGAAGGCCCAGACAGCCAGGAUGUUGGCUUAGAAGCAGCCAUCAUUUAAAGAAAGCGUAAUAGCUCACUGGUCGAGUCGGCCUGCGCGGAAGAUGUAACGGGGCUAAACCAUGCACCGAAGCUGCGGCAGCGACGCUGAUGCGUUGUUGGGUAGGGGAGCGUUCUGUAAGCCUGCGAAGGUGUGCUGUGAGGCAUGCUGGAGGUAUCAGAAGUGCGAAUGCUGACAUAAGUAACGAUAAAGCGGGUGAAAAGCCCGCUCGCCGGAAGACCAAGGGUUCCUGUCCAACGUUAAUCGGGGCAGGGUGAGUCGACCCCUAAGGCGAGGCCGAAAGGCGUAGUCGAUGGGAAACAGGUUAAUAUUCCUGUACUUGGUGUUACUGCGAAGGGGGGACGGAGAAGGCUAUGUUGGCCGGGCGACGGUUGUCCCGGUUUAAGCGUGUAGGCUGGUUUUCCAGGCAAAUCCGGAAAAUCAAGGCUGAGGCGUGAUGACGAGGCACUACGGUGCUGAAGCAACAAAUGCCCUGCUUCCAGGAAAAGCCUCUAAGCAUCAGGUAACAUCAAAUCGUACCCCAAACCGACACAGGUGGUCAGGUAGAGAAUACCAAGGCGCUUGAGAGAACUCGGGUGAAGGAACUAGGCAAAAUGGUGCCGUAACUUCGGGAGAAGGCACGCUGAUAUGUAGGUGAAGUCCUUCAGCGAGAUGGAGCUGAAAUCAGUCGAAGAUACCAGCUGGCUGCAACUGUUUAUUAAAAACACAGCACUGUGCAAACACGAAAGUGGACGUAUACGGUGUGACGCCUGCCCGGUGCCGGAAGGUUAAUUGAUGGGGUCAGCGCAAGCGAAGCUCUUGAUCGAAGCCCCGGUAAACGGCGGCCGUAACUAUAACGGUCCUAAGGUAGCGAAAUUCCUUGUCGGGUAAGUUCCGACCUGCACGAAUGGCGUAAUGAUGGCCAGGCUGUCUCCACCCGAGACUCAGUGAAAUUGAACUCGCUGUGAAGAUGCAGUGUACCCGCGGCAAGACGGAAAGACCCCGUGAACCUUUACUAUAGCUUGACACUGAACAUUGAGCCUUGAUGUGUAGGAUAGGUGGGAGGCUUUGAAGUGUGGACGCCAGUCUGCAUGGAGCCGACCUUGAAAUACCACCCUUUAAUGUUUGAUGUUCUAACGUUGACCCGUAAUCCGGGUUGCGGACAGUGUCUGGUGGGUAGUUUGACUGGGGCGGUCUCCUCCUAAAGAGUAACGGAGGAGCACGAAGGUUGGCUAAUCCUGGUCGGACAUCAGGAGGUUAGUGCAAUGGCAUAAGCCAGCUUGACUGCGAGCGUGACGGCGCGAGCAGGUGCGAAAGCAGGUCAUAGUGAUCCGGUGGUUCUGAAUGGAAGGGCCAUCGCUCAACGGAUAAAAGGUACUCCGGGGAUAACAGGCUGAUACCGCCCAAGAGUUCAUAUCGACGGCGGUGUUUGGCACCUCGAUGUCGGCUCAUCACAUCCUGGGGCUGAAGUAGGUCCCAAGGGUAUGGCUGUUCGCCAUUUAAAGUGGUACGCGAGCUGGGUUUAGAACGUCGUGAGACAGUUCGGUCCCUAUCUGCCGUGGGCGCUGGAGAACUGAGGGGGGCUGCUCCUAGUACGAGAGGACCGGAGUGGACGCAUCACUGGUGUUCGGGUUGUCAUGCCAAUGGCACUGCCCGGUAGCUAAAUGCGGAAGAGAUAAGUGCUGAAAGCAUCUAAGCACGAAACUUGCCCCGAGAUGAGUUCUCCCUGACUCCUUGAGAGUCCUGAAGGAACGUUGAAGACGACGACGUUGAUAGGCCGGGUGUGUAAGCGCAGCGAUGCGUUGAGCUAACCGGUACUAAUGAACCGUGAGGCUUAACCUUACAACGCCGAAG
rnacentral:rRNA from 1 species